rnacentral:lncRNA from 1 species
AAUAUUCAAAUAAUAUACCAAUUGAAAAAGUGAAUUGUAUACUUCAGUUGGCAAAGUAAAGUCAACAAAGAACAGAUGGUCAAUAAAGAGACAGAAAGGAGUAUUAACAUUAUCAAAAGCACUUUUGAUUGUAUAUCCAAGUCAAUGAAUUGCCUUCCUAGAUAAAUACUAACUUAAACAUAUGACCAAGUUUUAACCAAGAAAAUAAUGUGGACAUGGUCAAACAAAAAGAUUUGGAAGCAGAUAAUCUAAGCACAUCAUAUACUGGAGCCAAGCAGCAAAGGAA